UCCUGGCUUCAAGUGAUCCUCCUACCUUGGUGUCUCAAAGUGCUUGGAUUACAGAACCAUCUGGCUCCUUUGUUGGGAAUUCUGUGUGCAGAGGGCAAGGGAAGAAGCAAAGAGACAUGGUAGGAAGAUAUUGCAGAAAUCCAGGUGAGAGACGAUGUGCCUCAGUCCAGAGUGAUGGCAGCAAAGGAGUAGAUGAGAUCAUAAAGGAUGUGAUUGUGAAUAGAAAAUGGAAGCUGUCCAAGGCCUGAACUGUAUUAUUUAAAGGGGAGAAGAGUGAAUAACCUGGAGAAGGAAAAUUAGUCUAAAAAGGAGCAGCCAGCAAGGUUCUUUCUUGCCUUGGAGACUCAAUGAUUUUAUGCCUAGUGGUUCAUAAGUCACAAAAUAUCUGGAAUUAGGUGGAGCUUGGCAAGAGGAAGUUCUCAAGAGAGCCGGAAUGCUGCCAGUUUCCAAUUGGCCAAGACACAUUACAAGGACAACCGUCUCUCUGAGCAACCUGGCAUUUCCACUCCAAUUGGAAUCUGCAACAGGAAGAUGCACAGGGGAAGAGGAUUAAAUAAACCUUUUCAGAUUUCUGGUCCAGGUGCUCAGAGAAUUUCUUAAUUAGAUCUUCAUAAUUGUCCUUUGAGAGAAUCCAGCACCCACCCAAUUGUGCACAUGAGCCUUUGAAAGUAUUUCAUAUACUUUGGAUUUAUUAUUGUACUCUGCAAUUUGUAGACCUUAAAUCACCCCCCAGCACAACCCCAACAUCUCUCUUUUCAAGUAUACUGGACUAUUAAAGGCAGAUUGGACUGUUAAAGACAACUCAACUUCACUGCUAAUAAGUACCACUAUUAUACUGUGGACAUGGGUCUAUCAUAACAUCUAUGGUAUUUUGGCGCAUAUAUUUAUUUAAAUGUUUGUGUGUUUUCCCUAAGAAACAAUAAACCACAUUAGGGCCAGA